UACGUAGGGUGCAAGCGUUAAUCGGAAUUACUGGGCGUAAAGCGUGCGCAGGCGGUUAUGUAAGACAGAUGUGAAAUCCCCGGGCUCAACCUCCAGCCUGCAGUGGGUACGGGCAAACUAGAGUGCGGUAGGGGAGAUUGGAAUUCCUGGUGUAGCGGUGGAAUGCGCAGAUAUCAGGAGGAACACCGGUGGCGAAGGCGGCAUCCUGGACCGGCAUUGACACUGAAAAGCGAAAGCCAGGGGAGCAAACGGG
rnacentral:rRNA from 1 species